rnacentral:rRNA from 1 species
GUGGGGAAUCUUGCGCAAUGGGCGAAAGCCUGACGCAGCCAUGCCGCGUGAAUGAUGAAGGUCUUAGGAUUGUAAAAUUCUUUCACCGGGGACGAUAAUGACGGUACCCGGAGAAGAAGCUCCGGCUAACUUCGUGCCAGCAGCCGCGGUAAUACGAAGGGGGCUAGCGUUGCUCGGAAUUACUGGGCGUAAAGGGCGCGUAGGCGGACAGCUUAGUCAGAGGUGAAAGCCCAGGGCUCAACCUUUGAAUUGCCUUUGAUACUGGCUGUCUUGAGUACGGGAGAGGUGAGUGGAACUCCGAGUGUAGAGGUGAAAUUCGUAGAUAUUCGGAAGAACACCAGUGGCGAAGGCGACUCACUGGCCCGUUACUGACGCUGAGGCGCGAAAGCGUGGGGAGCAAACAGGAUUAGAAACCCCUGUAGUCC